rnacentral:rRNA from 1 species
AUUGAACGCUGGCGGCAGGCCUAACACAUGCAAGUCGAACGAGUGGCGGACGGGUGAGAAAUGUCUGGGAGACUGCGCGAGGGAGGGGGAUAACACCUGGAAACGGUAGCUCAAAUCGCAUACGCUCGGAUGUGCGCCGAGGGGAUAAGCUAGUAGGUGGGGUAACGGCUCACCUAGGCGACGAUCCCUAGCUGGGCUGAGAGGAUGACCAGACACACUGGAACUGAGACACGGUCCAGACUCCUACGGGAGGCAGCAGUGGGGAAUAUUGCACAAUGGGCGCAAGCCUGAUGCAGCCAUGCCGCGUGUAUGAAGAAGGCCUUCGGGUUGUAAAGUACUUUCAGCGAGGAGGCGUUACUCGCAGAAGAAGCACCGGCUAACUCCGUGCCAGCCGCCGCGGUAAUAC